CCUUGACUCUGGGAUAACCUCCGGAAACGGAAGCUAAUACCGGAUACGACGUACGGAGGCAUCUCCUGUACGUGGAAAGAACUUCGGUCAAGGAUGGACUCGCGGCCUAUCAGGUAGUUGGUGAGGUAACGGCCCACCAAGCCUACGACGGGUAGCCGGCCUGAGAGGGUGACCGGCCACACUGGGACUGAGACACGGCCCAGACUCCUACGGGAGGCAGCAGUGGGGAAUAUUGCACAAUGGGCGCAAGCCUGAUGCAGCAACGCCGCGUGAGGGAUGACGGCCUUCGGGUUGUAAACCUCUUUUAGUAGGGAAGAAGCGAAAGUGACGGUACCUGCAGAAAAAGCACCGGCUAACUACGUGCCAGCAGCCGCGGUAAUACGUAGGGUGCGAGCGUUGUCCGGAAUUAUUGGGCGUAAAGAGCUCGUAGGCGGUCUGUCGCGUCUGCUGUGAAAACCCGAGGCUCAACCUCGGGCCUGCAGUGGGUACGGGCAGACUAGAGUGCGGUAGGGGAGAAUGGAAUUCCUGGUGUAGCGGUGGAAUGCGCAGAUAUCAGGAGGAACACCGAUGGCGAAGGCAGUUCUCUGGGCCGUAACUGACGCUGAGGAGCGAAAGCGUGGGGAGCGAACAGGAUUAGAUACCCUGGUAGUCCACGCCGUAAACGUUGGGCGCUAGAUGUGGGGACCAUUCCACGGUUUCCGUGUCGCAGCUAACGCAUUAAGCGCCCCGCCUGGGGAGUACGGCCGCAAGGCUAAAACUCAAAGGAAUU
rnacentral:rRNA from 1 species